GGUCAAUGAUGUCACUUGGCAUGUAUUAGCUGACUUCAGAGCUGAAGAUUUACCUCUUUUGCACUGAGACCAA
rnacentral:snoRNA from 1 species